rnacentral:snRNA from 1 species
GCGCUCACAGCACAUGUACUAAAAUGGGAACCAUAUAGAGAAGAUCACACGGCCCCUGUGCAAGGAUGACAGGCAAAUUCUUGAAGUGUUCCAUGUGAAA